UCCAUUUCCUUUAUAAUUCCUUCAAUAGAGUCCAUGUCGCCAAGUGAAGCACAGCGGUUCACCGUAAUGCACGCAGCACAUAAGAUUAUUGGGAGCAUUAAAUCCAACCAUUAAAACCAAAGAUUAUUUUCAUGUGUUACCAAACACCAAACACAUGAAAAUACUUGUGACAGCACAGAAUUUAUGAAAUGCACUUUCAGAUAUGGUGCCAAAGAUGGCCACUUUAUACAGCAAUAUCUGCUAUUUCACCAUCAACUGGAAAGAACAUUUGUUGCCGUUAAAAUAUGCAACCAAGGUACUGUCACAGACUCACAGCCCUCCACAGCUCAAUUAAAAUUCAU
rnacentral:lncRNA from 1 species